rnacentral:misc_RNA from 1 species
UGAAAUGCGAAACGUAAUGCGAUUUGCACAAUCUGUGAGUCAUCGAGUCUUUGAACGCACUUGGCACCCAGUAGGCCUUCUACUGGGUAUACCUGUUUGAGCAUCAUAAACACUAUAUUCUUUAUUGAAUGAUCUGGGCGUCAACCGCAUGUGGGUUGUCGCCUCAAAGUGAUAGGUACGGGUUGUGGCGAGAGUCGCGGCUCUUUGUUUGGUAGCAGGACUGUGGUCUUGACAGAGCAAGGAGCUGGCGAAAGCAGCCAUAGCGCAACUGUACCGGAAGUGGCGGAGUGAGGAGCCCUCACAGGCACCCCCCACAUACCACCACAACACCAUCAUAUAUGAUCUCAAAUCAGGCAAGACUACCCGCUGAACUUAA